rnacentral:sRNA from 1 species
UGACCGAUUCGGUUGAGGAAUGUGCAGA